rnacentral:tRNA from 1 species
CCCGCAUUGGCCGAAUGGAUUAGGCAUCUGAAUUCUUGUCAGACUUACGGGGGUUCGAUUCCUUCAUGCGGGGCCA